rnacentral:rRNA from 1 species
UGCAUCGAUGAAGAACGCAGCGAAAUGCGAUACUUGGUGUGAAUUGCAGAAUCCCGUGAACCAUCGAGUCUUUGAACGCAAGUUGCGCCCGAAGCCAUUAGGCCGAGGGCACGCCUGCCUGGGUGUCACA